AACGAACGCUGGCGGCAGGCCUAACACAUGCAAGUCGAACGCUCCGCAAGGGGAGUGGCGCACGGGUGAGUAACGCUUAGGAAUCUACCUAGUAGUGGGGAACAACCCGGGGAAACUCGGGCUAAUACCGCAUACGCACUACGGUGGAAAGCCGGGGACCGCAAGGCCUGGCGCUAACAGAUGAGCCCAAGUCGGAUUAGCUAGUUGGUAGGGUAACGGCCUACCAAGGCGACGAUCCGUAACUGGUCUGAGAGGACGACCAGUCACACCGGAACUGAGACACGGUCCGGACUCCUACGGGAGGGCAGCAGUGGGGAAUAUUGGACAAUGGGGGAAACCCGUGAUCCAGCGACGCCGCGUGGGUGAAGAAGGCCUGCGGGUUGUAAGCCCUUUCAGUGGGAAGAAAAGCCUCGACCUAACACGUCGGGGUCUUGACGUAACCCAUAGAAGAAGCACCGGCUAACUCUGUGCCAGCAGCCGCCGCGGUAAU
rnacentral:rRNA from 1 species